rnacentral:lncRNA from 1 species
UAAUUUCUAACUAGGUGGUGGCCACUGCACAAACUAGAUUCUGCUCACUCUGGGCCUCACUCCACUUCCUCUGUGACAGAUCAUAUGACACAUGAUAUGUCAAGACAUAUCAUGUCUGACAAACCUGAUAUGGCUGAGAUCAAGAAAUUUGAUGUCAAAAAUAGAAGAAGACAGAAUUGCAAGAGAAAAAUCCACUGCCUUCCGAAGAAACAAUAGAACAGGAGAAGCAGGCAGACAAAUCUUACGGAGGCAUGCGCCGCCAAUAUGCACUGUACAUUCAACGAGAAUUGCCUUCUUAUUUUACUUAUUUUAGCUGUUAAUUUUGUAAGAUGCAAAGAGGUUGGAUCAACUUUUAAAGGACUUUGCUGCCCUUUUCACAUCAAACAAUAGAAAACUGCUGACGAUGAAGGCCACACCUACCUCUCCCAUCUGCUUGUCUGGCUGUCAAGGAAGGAAAAUAACUUGCAUGUUGGUGAAGGAAGAAGAAGAGUAGGAAGACAGGUAAAUCUAGAGUAAAACCAAGCUGCCCCAAGGUGUCCUGCAGGUUCUCAAAUGCAGUUUAAAUGAAGUUUAAUUAGAGUGCCAUUUUUCUUGUUCAAAUGAUUUUAAUUAUUAGAAUGCACAAACUUUAUUUUAAAAUAAACAGUUUUAGGCUGGACGUGGUGGUUCAUGCCUGUAAUCCUAACACUUUGGGAGGCUGAAACGGGUGGAUCACUUGAGGUCAGGAGUUUGAGACCAGCCUGGCCAUCAUGGUGAAACCCCACCUCCACUAAAAAUACAAAAAUUAGCUGGGUGUGGUGGCUCGCACCUGUAAUCCCAGCUACUCAGGAGGCUGAGGCAGGAGAAUCACUGUUCACAUUAAAUUAUUGUAUUUUCAUCAUUGCUAUAGCAGUUAAUCUUAUUAAAUAAAACAUAGCAAUUUAAAUGCACUAAAGUCUUAAGACUUUUCCAGUUAAAGUUUGUUGAGCAUGUAGAAAUUACUUAGUAUCUUAGAGUUCUAGGUGCAAAAUAUACUUUUUAAUAUCAUUAUUUUGGGAGGUUAGUCUUUCUACUCCCUACUCUCCUCUCUACCAGCCUCAUCCAGAGAAAUAACUCUCUCAAGGUACUGAUAAGAGAUGCCACAGUCAGGCUAGUCAAUGGAGUGAAAGAUGUCACUGCCAGAUCCCCUGUAUAGUGGCACAGACUCCUGGAAUUGAAACGGAGCUAGCUUAAGGAGUCAUUUAAUCCAGACCUCUUUCUUCCUGCAAGGGGUCUGCCUGAAAUGUCUAAGACAGAUGGUUUGUCCUUAAAAUUCACUAGGGACGGAGAUUCUACAAUAUUACUCUGGAGUCUUUUCUAAUGUUUAAUCACUAUUACUGUCAGGUCGGUUUAAGCUCUUUCCUGCUAGUUUUUCCUCUGCAGACAUGGAAAACGGUUGAACACCAACCUCUUUAUAAUCACCUUGCCAAUACGCAAAAACAGUUACCAUGGUGCCCUUCGGCCUUGUUUUUUCAAAAGCAUGUAAUUUAUCUCCUCUCCAUUUUUAACACAUCAA